AGUCUUAGUGGCGCAGCUAACGCACUAGGUAGACCGCCUGGGGAGUACGGCCGCAAGGUUAAAACUCAAAUGAAUUGACGGGGGCCCGCACAAGCGGUGGAGCAUGUGGUUUAAUUCGACGCAACGCGAAGAACCUUACCUGGCCUUGACAUGCAGAGAACUUUCCAGAGAUGGAUUGGUGCCUUCGGGAACUCUGACACAGGUGCUGCAUGGCCGUCGUCAGCUCGUGUCGUGAGAUGUUGGGUUAAGUCCCGUAACGAGCGCAACCCCUAUCCCUAGUUGCUAGCAGUUCGGCUGAGAACUCUAGGGAGACUGCCGGUGACAAACCGGAGGAAGGUGGGGAUGACGUCAGGUCGUCAUGGCCCUUACGGCCAGGGCUACACACGUGCUACAAUGGUGCGUACAGAGGGCUGCAAACCCGCGAGGGGGAGCUAAUCUCACAAAACGCAUCGUAGUCCGGAUCGGAGUCUGCAACUCGACUCCGUGAAGUCGGAAUCGCUAGUAAUCGCGAAUCAGAAUGUCGCGGUGAAUACGUUCCCGGGCCUUGUACACACCGCCCGUCACACCAUGGGAGUGGAUUGCACCAGAAGUGGUUAGUCUAACCUUCGGGAGGACGAU
rnacentral:rRNA from 1 species